UUAGAAUGUGUCAGUCGGCAAAUUAAAAUAAAAAUAUAAACAAUCGUCAAUGAGUGUCAAUGGAGUGUUACACACCAUCUAAAAUAUUAAUUUAUUUAAUUCUAAUUUAAUCAAGAUGUGGAAUAAAGUAUCUCCUAUAUAUGGCGCUAUACACGAUACUAUUUUGUUUAAGUAUAUUUAUGAUAGCAUUAGUCAUAGCUGUUAUAAAGAAAAUGUUUUUUCGUUGGAAAGAAGAACAUAAGAUCGAGAGAAUGGUUAGAACUAUUGUGGAAAGGCCGGCGGUAAGCGUAAUAAUAAACACAGAUAAGUGCGUCCUCCGGCGGCGUACCUAUGCAGAAUGUAUUGACAUCUAUGACAUCAUCACUAAGAGCGAUAUUAGCUUGACGAAGGACCACGAAUUGACAUCGAGCACACACGCCAUCUCAGCCACGCAGAAUUAAAGCAUUUUCUUGAAUAUUGUUAAUGAUAAAAUAAUAUUUUCACAUUUA